UACGUAGGGUGCGAGCGUUAAUCGGAAUUACUGGGCGUAAAGCGUGCGCAGACGGUCUGUUAAGACCGAUGUGAAAUCCCCGGGCUUAACCUGGGAACUGCAUUGGUGACUGGCAGGCUUUGAGUGUGGCAGAGGGAGGUAGAAUUCCACGUGUAGCAGUGAAAUGCGUAGAGAUGUGGAGGAAUACCGAUGGCGAAGGCAGCCUCCUGGGCCAACACUGACGCUCAUGCACGAAAGCGUGGGGAGCAAACAGG
rnacentral:rRNA from 1 species